GAUUUUGUUAUCCUCAGGAUAAGCAUCAUUACACUACCAUUACCAUCCCUCUAACAUCUCUUGCUUUCUGGAGUACAUUCCUUUCAUCUUUUUCCAUUUGGCCCCAAACAAGGAAAAUUAUUUCUAAAUGAAUUGACACAAAGAAACUAAAGAAAGCAAGCCCUCAGUUCUUGAGAUGAACACUAUUUUAUUAGUAACCUCAUCAAUCAUCAUCAGGAAAAAGCACUAGCACUAGUGCCCACUAUUGAAAUAUCUGUCUGUUUCACCCCUUCAUGCUGAUUGACAUAAAGAGCAUAGAAGCUCUUAAAGUGAAGACAAGAACUAGCAUUGGAAUAAUUUGUAUGCUAAGUUUUGUAAACUAACCCAAGAAAUGGACUUACCAACUCGAGAAUUGGGGUGGUUA
rnacentral:misc_RNA from 1 species